UACGAAGGGGGCUAGCGUUGCUCGGAAUCACUGGGCGUAAAGGGUGCGUAGGCGGCUUUGUAAGUUAGAGGUGAAAGCCCGGGGCUCAACUCCGGAAUUGCCUUUAAGACUGCAUCGCUAGAAUUGUGGAGAGGUAAGUGGAAUUCCGAGUGUAGAGGUGAAAUUCGUAGAUAUUAGGAAGAACACCGGUGGCGAAGGCGGCCCACUGGAUCGGUACUGACGCUGAGGUGCGAAAGCGUGGGGAGCAAACAGG
rnacentral:rRNA from 1 species